rnacentral:rRNA from 1 species
AUACGGAGGGUGCAAGCGUUACUCGGAAUCACUGGGCGUAAAGCGCGCGCAGGCGGCUAUUUAAGUUGGAUGUGAAAGCCUACGGCUCAACCGUAGAACUGCAUCCAAAACUAUUUAGCUAGAGUGUGGGAGAGGAAGAUGGAAUUAGUUGUGUAGGGGUAAAAUCCGUAGAGAUAACUAGGAAUACCAAAAGCGAAGGCAAUCUUCUGGAACACUACUGACGCUGAGGCGCGAAAGCGUGGGAAGCAAACGGGAUUAGAAACCCCUGUAGUCC